GACCGUAAUCACGCGUGAUUUAAAAUGCGAAACGUAAACACCGCAAUUGCAAAAUUGUGUUUUUGUUGCGCACGUUUGCUAUGGAAGCGCAGGUAGCGGAGAGGAGGACGUUUAAUCAAAUAUGACUGAGCAAUCUCCUUCAAAUGGAUGCCAACUUGUUGGGCGCUUCGUCUUACUCAGAAUGAGGUUCUAAUCAAAGCCCUCGUCUUUGCAUGCUUGCCAGAAACGGAGCGCUCCAAACACUCAAAUGAAUGCAGCGCAGCUGGUGUAAACUGGCAUUUCCAAAAUGUCUUCUCAGUGAUCCGAGAAAAUAAAAAUACAACAUCGAGCGAAAUAUCCUACCCACGCCGUUUCAUCUAACAUGGAGGGGUAAACUUUCUGUCUCUUUAAGACAAGUGGAAGCCUGUUGAGGGGAAAAGAAGGUGAGAGGAAAGAUGAGCCUCUAAAUGCUUGUGAGGAGUUGGAAGCUUUUGUGAAUCACGCAGACUCAAAGCUUGGUCACUCAUUGGGAAAAUUGGUGUAAAACACUCUCAUCAUUACAUGAAGUCGAGGUGUUAUCUCCAGCAAUUGUAGACAGCGGCUCAUCAUGAAUACACAUGGCAGAAAAGCUCUGGGGUCUUGUAAAACAUGUAAAAAGAAAUGUUUUUUUUAAUUCCUCAAA